GAUGAACGCUGGCGGCGUGCCUAAUACAUGCAAGUCGAGCGAACAGACGAGGAGCUUGCUCCUCUGACGUUAGCGGCGGACGGGUGAGUAACACGUGGAUAACCUACCUAUAAGACUGGAAUAACUUCGGGAAACCUGAGCUAAUACCGGAUAAUAUAUUGAACCUCAUGGUUCAAUAGUGAAAGACGGUUUUGCUGUCACUUAUAGAUAUAUCCUCGCCGCAUUAGCUAGUUGGUAAGGUAACGGCUUACCAAGGCAACGAUGCGUAGCCGACCUGAGAGGGUGAUCGGCCACACUGGAACUGAGACACGGUCCAGACUCCUACGGGAGGCAGCAGUAGGGAAUAUUCCGCAAAGGGCGAAAGCCUGACGGAGCAACGCCGCGUGAGUGAUGAAGGUCUUCGGAUCGUAAAACUCUGUUAUUAGGGAAGAACAAAUGUGUAAGUAACUAUGCACGUCUUGACGGUACCUAAUCAGAAAGCCACGGCUAACUACGUG
rnacentral:rRNA from 1 species